UUAGCUUAUAUAUACGACGUGC
rnacentral:siRNA from 1 species